rnacentral:rRNA from 1 species
CCUACGGGGAGCAGCAGUGGGGAAUAUUGGACAAUGGGCGAAAGCCUGAUCCAGCCAUGCCGCGUGUGUGAAGAAGGCCUUCGGGUUGUAAAGCACUUUCAGUGGGGAAGAAAGCCUUGGGGCUAAUACCCUCGAGGAAGGACAUCACCCACAGAAGAAGCACCGGCUAACUCCGUGCCAGCAGCCGCGGUAAUACGGAGGGUGCGAGCGUUAAUCGGAAUUACUGGGCGUAAAGCGCGCGUAGGCGGUCUGAUAAGCCGGUUGUGAAAGCCCCGGGCUCAACCUGGGAACGGCAUCCGGAACUGUCAGGCUAGAGUGCAGGAGAGGGAGGUAGAAUUCCCGGUGUAGCGGUGAAAUGCGUAGAGAUCGGGAGGAAUAACAGUGGCGAAGGCGGCCUUCUGGACUGACACUGACGCUGAGGUGCGAAAGCGUGGGUAGCAAACAGGAUUAGAUACCCUUGUAGUC